CUUAAACUCUUCUUAGAGGGACAGGCGGCGGACGAAAAUAGCCGCACGAGACUGAGCGAUAACAGGUCUGUGAUGCCCUUAGGUGUUCUGGGCCGCACGCGUGCUAC
rnacentral:rRNA from 16 species